rnacentral:rRNA from 1 species
GACGAACGCUGGCGGCGUGGAUUAGGCAUGCAAGUCGAACGGUAUCAUCCUUUCGGGGGUGAGAGAGUGGCGAACUGGUGAGUAACACGUAGGUUAUCUACCCUCAAGACGGGGACAACCCAGGGAAACUUGGGCUAAUACCGGAUGUGAGCAACUUUUAGUUGUUUGAAAGGUGGCGUAAGCUGUCGCUUGGGGAUGAGCCUGCGUCCUAUUAGUUAGUUGGUGAGGUAACGGCUCACCUAGGCAAUGAUAGGUAGGCGGCCUUAACGGGUGGUCGCCCACACUGGGAUUGAGAUACGGCCCAGACUCCUACGGGAGGCAGCAGUUGAGAAUAGUCUACAAUGGUCGGAAGACUGAUAGUGCGACGCCGCGUGAACGAUGAAUCCCUUCGGGGUGUAAAGUUCUUUUAUAUGUGAGCAGUGCUUCUUAUAUUAACAGUAUGGGGAGAGAGAUAUUAGCAUAUGAAUAAGCAACGGCUAACUCCGUGCCAGCAGCCGACGGU